GCGGAGCGAGUCUCCAAAAGACGCACAGGAGAGGCCCCUGAGGGAGUCUGCUGUAGACACCUGCCCAGUCCACAGUGCCUAAACUCAGCUACCUCGAUAGGACUCAUCAAGUUAUCAUCAUCUGUCAGAUCUGAACUUAAACAACAAGAAACAUGUCAGGCUCGGUUUCUGAGUGCCUAUAGGCAGAAAGAAGAGUUGAGGAGCCGGGAAUGUUCACCAGUAUUGCAUUUCUUCCAACCAACGUUUCUGCGUAUACAUCAGUGACAGCGGACUGGCUUGCUGCGAGGCAGGUGGCCGCGGCAGAACCGGUUGGGAUGAGUUACCGCACCACCUCGGAUUCUGGGAUUCCCGCACUACUUUGCGGCUCUUCCUGCGCUCCAGAGCGCUCCUUUGAAACGAGCGCAAAAGGCAUAAAUUUUGAGUAGCUAAACUCGUUUCCCCGAGACAGCAGCGCUUAGACAGACAAGCUGGGAGCGGAGAGCUUGCCUUGCUCCCCGUGGGUACGCUGCCAAAGUGGCGCUUGAUCGUUAGUGAAAAAAAAAAAAGACGGAGCGAUAUGGUUCAGUCCGGCGUUUGCAGGAGGAAGCAGACGAUUGCGGGUGAAGGCCCCAUGAGUCCAGCUCCGCCUGGACUACGCGGCUCCCCACCUCUGGCGGCCGCGGCUCCUGUUCCCCAGGACGUGCUCGCAGUUCCAGCCUCUAAUCCUAGUCCUCAGCUGGCGCAGGCUGGCUGAAGGAUCGCGCAACUAGGCGGAAUGUGUUGACUCCAUCCUCCAGGAGAAUUCAGAUUGGACUGAAAGGAAAAAAUUUCCCUGACCUGGGCAGCAGCAGUCGGUCGAUGAAACUGACCUUCAUGACACUGAUCAGAGAUAAACCUCUUGGCAUGAGACAGCCUGGCACACCACUGAUCACUCGGUUGGGGACUAGGGACAAACAGCCCACCACCACGAAAUUUACCAGCGUGUACUUAAAGAGAAAGCCCGAGAUGCCUAAAACAGAUCGGUGCACAACAGAACACUGUUCACUGUUAACCGACCACCUGAAACCGUUCGCAGUGAGGCUACCCUGAAAUUAACCUGACUGGGUGAAAGGAACCAGAAUGAAAUCCACCUGCCUGUUAACACAGCCACUUAGCCACAACAAGAGACUGGAGCAGAGGCUGAAGAGUGCGGCGGGGUGGAGCCGGGAGGGGGCUAGUCUCUGGGUGCUCCUGAGAACCUGACUGGUGCCGCUGCGGGGAUUGGGGGAGGGGGUUGUCCAGUGCUUUUUAAUUUACGACCGCCGCGCCCCAAGCCAUCCCAUAAAUUUGGGGGCCGUUUUCACCAAAGCUGUGAGUUACGAUUUUUCAAAUAAAUACAUUUUCC